rnacentral:rRNA from 1 species
UGGGGAAUAUUGGACAAUGGGGGAAACCCUGAUCCAGCCAUGCCGCGUGUGUGAAGAAGGCCUUUUGGUUGUAAAGCACUUUAAGCAGUGAAGAAGACUCUUCGGUUAAUACCCGGAGACGAUGACAUUAGCUGCAGAAUAAGCACCGGCUAACUCUGUGCCAGCAGCCGCGGUAAUACAGAGGGUGCAAGCGUUAAUCGGAAUUACUGGGCGUAAAGCGAGCGUAGGUGGCUUGAUAAGUCAGAUGUGAAAUCCCCGGGCUUAACCUGGGAACUGCAUCUGAUACUGUUAAGCUAGAGUAGGUGAGAGGGAAGUAGAAUUUCAGGUGUAGCGGUGAAAUGCGUAGAGAUCUGAAGGAAUACCGNUGGCGAAGGCAGCUUCCUGGCAUCAUACUGACACUGAGGCUCGAAAGCGUGGGUAGCAAACAGGAUUAGAUACCCUGGGUAGUCCACGCCGUAAAACGAUGUCUACUAGUCGUUGGGGUCCCUUGAAGGACUUAGUGACGCAGCUAACGCAAUAAGUAGACCGCCUGGGGAGUACGGCCGCAAGUUAAAACUUAAAUAA